rnacentral:rRNA from 1 species
CCUACGGGUGGCUGCAGUGGGGAAUAUUGGACAAUGGGGGGAACCCUGAUCCAGCCAUGCCGCGUGUGUGAAGAAGGCCCUCGGGUUGUAAAGCACUUUCAGUGAGGAAGAACGCCUGGUGGUUAAUACCCAUCAGGAAAGACAUCACUCACAGAAGAAGCACCGGCUAACUCCGUGCCAGCAGCCGCGGUAAUACGGAGGGUGCGAGCGUUAAUCGGAAUUACUGGGCGUAAAGCGCGCGUAGGUGGCUUGAUAAGCCGGUUGUGAAAGCCCCGGGCUCAACCUGGGAACGGCAUCCGGAACUGUCAAGCUAGAGAGCAGGAGAGGAAGGUAGAAUUCCCGGUGUAGCGGUGAAAUGCGUAGAGAUCGGGAGGAAUACCAGUGGCGAAGGCGGCCUUCUGGACUGACACUGACACUGAGGUGCGAAAGCGUGGGUAGCAAACAGGAUUAGAUACCCCAGUAGUC